UUUUGGACAGUGAAGGAAACCAUUAACAAAACAAAACAACUGAAUGGGAAAAGGAGCAGAUGGAGACCUGGGAAGUUUCAGGAACUUGCCCAAAGUGACACACUGGUAAGUGUGGUGCCCAAGAUACCACCAGUAACCAAGACCAUCCCCUGCUCAGCUCUGAUGCAUUGCAGCUAACCUCCCUGUGACUCUUUUCACAUGUGGAAAACAAGUAAGUUUAACUCCAUGAUGUCUAGGAAGCUUUUACAACGCUAUGAUGUCCUGAUUUGUUCUUUUGUUUUAUGUCUUGAACUCUUUUUUACUGGAUAUAUUUGACAUACAACAUUAUAUAAAUUGAAGGUGUACACCUGUUACUUUGAUAUGUUUAUAUAUCAUGAUUGCCCUUGAGCUAUAUCACACUACAUAAUUAUAGUACAAUAUUGUUAUCUGUGUUCAUUAUACUACUGUUCACUCUGCCCUCUUUACAGUCUCCUUUUAAAAUGGAGAGAUCUUGAGGAUAGAUAAAAAUUGGAAAUCCCCACAGAAUGAUUCCAAACCUCCUAGUACAUCAUGACCAGCUGGUAUCUUCUAAGAAUACUUAUUUCCAAAGUCCCUCACCAACUGAGGACUAUAUGAAUAAAAACCUCAAUUUCUUACCUCUUUUGAAAAUACAAAAUUCUUCCAGCCCUGGGUUUGCUUUCUUGAUGCAAAUGAUCAGCACAUGCCCCUUUUAUUUGAGGCCUGUGUUCUCAAAUUUCCCACAGUACACGCUCUCCCUAAUUACAUACAAUCCACUUCAAAUAAUUUUAAAUUGCUUGGUUGAGAUUUUUAGGCCGUGGCAUCAGCAUCACCUAGUAAAAUGUGUUGAAACACUAAUUGCUGGAAACCACUGAUCUUCUGUAAGAAAGUGUUGUCACUUUCCCAUUUAUUUAUGUGUGUGUGUGUGUGUGUGUGUGUGUCUGUUAUAAUCCAAUGCUAUUGUUAUUUUUGUUCUUAUUCAAGAUGUCUCAACUUUGGGCAUUGGGGAGCUCUUAUGUUGGUUCCCAAGCUUUUUCAAUGAGUCUCUCCACACCCCACCACUGCCUUUUUUUUUUUUUUUUUGCACUUCCUUUGGUACUUUCUGGCAGUACAUGAUGCUCUAAGCUUAUCUUGUAUUUUCCUUACCAGGGCCCUGGAAUUAACUAGUUCUCCAAGUAUCCAUGGUUUCUUUUAUUGGAGAAAAGUAUUUAGAAACCAAGAUCUGGGUACUAGGUUUGCUCAUUGUUAUUGCUGCCUCUAGCCCCUUUCAAUGAACAGAACUAAGAAGUCUGUGUAUACGUACUAACUCAUAUAUAUACAAACCUAUAGAUUUAUUUCUGAAUCUAUUUAUCUGUAAAUGUAUAUUUAAAUUGUCCAUAUGGGUACCUUCACUUCUAAUCCAUUACCAUAGGAUUCAUACUGGCCUUCGGGAUAUCAGAUUUUUAAUCUUUGCAUGGCUUUUUUAUUUUAACAAUGGCUCAAGAACAUCAUGGGGGAUGAGGAAGCUUCUCUUGAUAACUAUUUUAUAGGUUUUAAUAAAAAUACCAAGUUUAGCAUAACAAAAAUACCAGCAUAUCCCCAUGUUUAGUAUCCCUCAACUCCUUCUGAAAUCUUCCAUAAUUUAGAACAUACAGCCUGACUGUUCCUGAAGGUGAGAAGACCUGCCUCACUUCCCUUUUUGUACAAACACAGUUUGUCUCCAGCCCUAUGGAAUAAUGCCUUUUGUAACAAUAAGCUGGUACUUGUGGAUUCUAAAUAUAAGCCUGUUCUUAGAGAUUAUAAUCAGAACUUUGAAUUACAUGUGAAAUCUUAUUUUGAAUUCAGGUACACAAUUACUCACUCAGACACUUAAUUAUACUGCCUUAGGAUAGCAUUAGAACAAUAGUUUUAAUUGUUUUUUUGGGAGGGGUUGGAUUACAAAAGUAACCUGUUAUCCUGUGAGGGAGCUGAAGUGACUAUAGUCUUAAGGAUUUCACAGAAUCAAACUGAUCAUCAGCUGUGAGGUUUUCCUGUAAUUCUUUCAUGUUUAUUCAGGAAGCAGCCUUACUUGGAUAGGCUCCUCCUUCUUCUCCUUAUACUUCACAUAAAUCUAGUGGUGAUUAGAUGUGUCUUAGAGCCACAUCUAAGGAGUUGAACAAUACUUAGAACAAGGCGACAGCUCCCAGGUUGCUGGAGGUAUAGCCCCUCAAUAGUUUGGAAAACAUUCCGGAUCUUAAACAGCAAUACCAGUAAUUAUGAAGGCACCAUCCCUUUCAUAAGAAAGAAAACAAGACAAUGAAAGCAAAGCCCUUUUACUAACAAGGUACAGUGAUAGCAUGUGUUCAGCCUUCCCAAAACCUGUCUGGCAUUUGUUUCUGGACUGCUGGGGAGUAUCUUCCAUCUUUCUCUAAGCACUCAUGAAAUGAUACAAAGAUAAACAAUUGGAGGCUAAUCAGCAGUGUCUUUGGGGUAGCAAGAGAGAAAAGUAGCCUGCCAUUAAUAUCAAAGGAAUUAAUCAUGGUUUACAUAGGUGACUUAGCAGCUUAACUAUGCAAGUGCUUGAAAACAAGGACCCAACAAAUUUUACAAAAGUUUGGAGAACCAGGUAUGGCAGACAGCUUAUAGGACUAUUUGACAAGCUAUUUAAACUUCACAGUUUUAAUACUGUAAAGAUGCUCUCUGUAAAGAGAUAGUGCCUUUUUGUGUGAGAGGCUAUGUACAUUGCAGAUCUGUGUUUCUCAAACUUGUGUCUGUGAGGUUCUCCUGGGCAGUUUUGUUAAAACACCAAUUUCAAUUCAGCAGGUCUAGGGACUGGGCUGAGAUGCUGCAUUUCUGAGGUGCACAGGUGGUGCUGACGCUGCAGGCCAGCACUCCUCAUUCUGCAUAGCAAGGGUCUGUCUGGAUUGCUCUAGUACUUCUGGAAGGUAGGCUUGAACUUCUCACACUCCCCAAAUUUAUGUAUCUCCAAAUUAACAACAUGUAGCACUGUGAAUGUUCAAAGGUUAGGAGACUAGAAUAGCUUUUUGGAGUAGAGGUAUUUGGCCAGAUAAUUUUUUGUAGUUUAUAGAGUUUA